rnacentral:rRNA from 1 species
UACAGAGGUCUCAAGCGUUGUUCGGAUUCAUUGGGCGUAAAGGGUGCGUAGGUGGCGUCGUAAGUCGGGUGUGAAAUUUCGGAGCUUAACUCCGAAACUGCAUUCGAUACUGCGGUGCUUGAGGACUGGAGAGGAGACUGGAAUUUACGGUGUAGCAGUGAAAUGCGUAGAGAGUCGUAAGGAAGACCAGUGGCGAAGGCGGGUCUCUGGACAGUUCCUGACGCUGAGGCACGAAGGCCAGGGGAGCAAACGGG